AACCUCAUCGACCGGAAGGGAUUCCUUCUGGUUGAUGAGGUGUAACAACCCCAUCAACCAGAAGGAAUUCCUUCUGAUUGAUGAGGUG
rnacentral:miRNA from 1 species